ensembl:lncRNA
GAGAUGAAGCAGCUCUUGAUUUCAUCUGCUCUAUUCCCUAUAAAUUAUUAAAAUGGCUUUCUUCUUAGAAAUCUUUCUGAACUUCCCUUAAUUCCAUCAGAGUGCACUGGUAAAGCUGCAGCCGCCUUUCUAAAUUCAAGCUUAAAAAAUACUAGUCUACCCCCAAAAAGCCUGUAAUUUUACAGUUUUAAGGCUUUGUUAUUAGCAGGUAAACCUUAAGUUUGCAGACUAGGGGAAUAAAAGAAUGCCUAUACCUUUCACUGUUGCAAAGGGACUUUAGGCUUGGACCCUCUAUUUACAAGAAUCAUACAGUUCUGUGUCCUCUCAAAAACAUUAUAUAUGUUGGAGAUUUUAAUACAGUAUUCUGGACUUGCUUUUAAGUCAUCAGGAGUCUAAACUCCACUUGACCAGUGACCAGGAGGCCAAUUCUGUACUAGUACUGAUUCUUAAGAACAGUCUCUGUACAUCUUACCAGUUUUGAUACACAUUGCAGUUGUGUAGUUGGUUCUGCUACUCCCUACAUAUAUGUAGCUUGAUGUCCAUUUUCCUGCUGCAAGAGAGGAGACUUUCAGGGUCACACUGAUGAGCACUCUGCGGCACUUACUAGCCUUCUACUUAAACCCUGAGCCUGCUUCCGAUGUAUCAUCACAAAGAGGCCAGACUUAAAAACAGGGAAAAUAAAGGGCCUGGCACUAAUGCCCCUUAGCACCUCCAAAUUACAAGGCUGUUUAUUAGGCCAGUGUUGGCUUCUCUGCCUUGGCACUACUGACCAUAUCCAACGGAGGCAGUUUUGUUGAUGAUGUAGCAGCAGCCUUGGCCUCUAGUCCACAUGUUGGCUUUAGAAGACACUUUAAAAGGGCACUUUAUUUCCAGUUGCAAACAUUUAACUCUAAAAGCAGUUUCUCCCAGGGUGGGUGGGGAGACAACCCGUGUUUCCCAAACAUAAAUGCCAAUGGCCUAUUUGAAUUGGCAUCUCAGGGUGGAAUUUGAACAUCCCCAAAAAGCUGUUACCCAGCUGACUGAAGCAGCACCAUUUUACGCACAUGGUAGAGAACUAAAGUGGAUGAGUUCCCUUAUGCAGGAGCUUAAGAAUGCAGCACACCCACCCCCGGUCAAGAAAUAUUUGCAGGUUCUACUGCAUCCUGGGGUCACACCAGGGAAUCCAAAUAAAAGUCUGCACGCCCCCCAACCCCCAACAUGCGGUGUUUGGCCUGCCCUGGCCAACACUUGAUGGUUCCUUUUGCUUAUUAAGAUCUCUGCCUAAAUGGGAAAGCCAUCCAGCUGCUUGCUUCUGAGGCAGGAGACCAACCCCCCGCCCCCCCAUCCCUGGACAAUGGCCUAGCUAAGGAACCUCACACUCUCUGGGACCAUAAAUUCCAUUGGGGGCUUGACCCAAGGGGGAGAUUUUUCUUUUUGGUAAAUUAAAAGUCUUGAAAAAUUAAAUCCUAAUCCCUUAGUAUAUGGAAAAAUUUGCAUUUAAAAUAAGUCUGCAACUUUAACAAGCACCUGCUAUAUUCUUGAGGUAAAACAAGCUGGGGUUGGGGUGGUGGUGAACAGACGAGACAAAGGAAAAAUGUGGAAGAGAGUGACCCAAGAGAGUAAAUAACUUUUGCUUUAUUAGGCGCCAAGUCAAAUCUUGACUGUAGAAGGAAUUACUACCUGGCCCAAUCGUUUCACUACAGAUAGGGGCCAGAGAGAAACAAUACAUUGUACAGUCGACAAGAGUUAGUGCCAGAGCUGAGACAACCCAACCCUCUAGGUUUCCACCUUUUUUCAUCAUACAAAGUGGUUACCAUGUGCUGUCAACAAAGAAUUAAACUAUCAAGUCCGACACCAGCAAGGAAACAGACAUUUGUCAUAACAUGUAUUCUUACAAACACAACUGAGGCUCACCUCGUUACCUAGAUCGUUUAAAUCAUUAAAGGACUUUAAAAAGAGCAGUGUAGCAACAUGGUUAGAACAAUUUCAUUUCCCCCAUGUAUACCUCUCAAAUUAUUAGGAAACUGUACUUUUUAAUUUCAGUGAUAGCCAAAUUCCACAUGACUUUACACAGUUUAAAGAGCUCAUGAAACACUUUAUGCCCUUCUCUCUAAACCAGUCAACAAAUUAUGGCAUGCCUUAAUGCCCCAACCAAUGGAGAUUUAAUUUACCCUGCUGCUUACUUAGGACUUUCUGGUCAAAUUCUCAAGGUUUCCAUUUUAGAGCUGUGUUAUAUAUCAAAGCAGGAUGAUUGACGAUCUUAAUCUUUGCCAAACCACCCUGAAGUAUUUUCUCGUUCAAACUAGGUUCUUAUUUUUCCUAGCCAUUUAAGCUCCUAGGAAUUUUAGAUGUCGAGAACACACCCUGUGCACGGGAAUCAAUAUUACAUGGUUCGCUGGGAUCUGUUGUGGCUGGCCUUGGACACUUUUUGUUAACGAUGGUUAUGCUUCCUUGACAGGUAGAAUCAGAAGAUCAUGCGAUGUUGCAGUAGGAGGAUUUAUCUUGGUAACUUUAGGAUGCUGGUAUGUGUGCUAAAAUUCACGAAGCUCCAUUACUGUGAUAGGUUUAUCUAAUUCCAAGCAUAUGUUCUACUCAGAGCAAUUCCCACCCUCAGUGAUAUUUAUCUUACAAAAUACUGCUGGAACAUCUCAAAUCUUUUAAACAUGUAUAUAAACACACAUGUCAUUUGUCAGAUGAACAGAUGAAUGCAUGCCAUUAGUGCAUCAAUGCCCUGUCAGGAUUUAUACUUCAUUUAGGAAGGACUCUACUUUUUUAAAAAUUAACCUGAAUGCACAUUUCAUCCCUGCCUAUGGCAUUUAACAUCUAAAAAUAUUACUUUAAGGAGUUCCCAUUGUGGAGCACUGAAAACAAAUCCAACCAGCAUCCAUGAGGGUUCAUCUCAGUGGGUUAAGGAUCCAGUGGUGCUGUGACGUAGGCUGGUGGAUGCAGCUCCAAUUUGACCCCUAGCCUGGGAAAUUUCCAUAUGCAGCCCUAAAAAGCAAAAAUAAGUAAAUAAAUAAGCCACUUUAAGAAUGUGUACAUAACCACUGUCAUCUGUAAGCAUUUACAAUUUUUGAUUAUAAACGUCAAAUUUUAGUUUUUUUUGUGGGUUUUUUUUUUUUUUUUUUUUGGUCUUUUUUCUUUUUAGGGCCAAACCUGCAGCAUUUGGAGGUUCCCAGGCUAGGGUCGAAUCAGAGGUACAGCCACCGGCCUAUGCCACAGCGACAGCAACGCAGGAUCCCAGCCAUGACUGCAGCCUACAGCUCAUGGCAAGGCUGGAUCCUUAACCCACUGAGCAAGGCCAGGAUCAAACCCGCAACCUCAUGGUUCCUAGUCAGGUUCUUAACCACUGAGCCGCAAGGGAACUCUGGUAUCUUUUAUUUAUAUUGAUUUGUUCAUGUUCUCCUUACAAGGUUCCAUUGUAGAUAUAAUUAUGCAAAGCUAAGAAUCCAGGAAAGAGUUGCCAGAGAAGGAAUUAAAAACAAGAUUUUAUAUGAAAGUACCCACCUUGAUCCUGAAAGAAAAACCAACGGGAGCGGCAGGAGCCAUUGAGCAGUCUUGAGCAUAGAAAACCCAGAUAACCACUUCAGUGUGAACUACAGCAACAUUUUAUGUAUCAUGAGAGAGCUUUCAAUCAAGUAAAUAAAGUACUGUGUCAAGUUGUCUUUUUUCCACAGGUUUCUGACUAUCUACCCCAUUACUGUGGUCCUGUAUCUCAUCAUACGUAGCAUACCGAGUGUUCCACAUGGUUCCCUGCAGUAAGCAGUGAGCACCGAUGUCCAACAAAUUCUCAGGUUGCCUUAAGAACCAAUGACAACUGCUAUUACUGUACCCUGUUAAAAAUUAAGGGCUACUUCCUGGUUUCUAUCAGACUUAAAACUAAUUAUAGACUGUCACUUUGCAGUUGUUAUUUUUAAAAUGUACCCCACUGCUUGACACUAUUCUUCCAUUCCAACAGGCAAGUCAUCUCUCAGCAAAGGCUUUUGGCUGGUCUAAAUACUUUUUUCAAGUAGGAAAGUGUUUUUUACUUAAGUAGAAUUUAAAUAUGCACAUGGAAUGCAUGAAAGUAUUUUCAGAACAUGUUUGGUGCAAAGGAAAAAACUGCAGAACUAGUCAUAUUAAUGUAAAGACAUGGAGAUAGAAAAACAAAACUCCACACCCAACAAAAUCCACAGCAUUCAUUUACAGUUUUAAUAUCAACAUUACUUUUCAAAAAAUAAAGCACAAGCUCAGAAACCUUCCUAAGGAAUGAUAAAUAUGAAAAAAGACACCAGUGUCUUAAGAUAGUGGCAUUAUUUAUUAUUGGUCCUACUGAUUACCACAGUGAGCUAAGCAGAGCAAGGAACAGAUGUCUUGAAACUGUAUUCUGUUCCAUUAUCCCUUUUCAGGAUAGGUGGAGCUUGCUCUGGUUCACCUCAGCAGAGAGGCAGCAUUUUCCCUCCCAUGCCCACUUUCUCAUGGCUGUCCUAAGAGGUGUGUGUGUGUGUGUGUGUGUGUGUUACCAAAUGAGUGACUGCCAGACAUGCUCUAAGAGAUUUUUAUUGAUCCUAACCAUCUGGCAGCCACCAAAGGAAGGACCUGGACAUUGAUUAGGGAAGGCUAUUAGGAGAAUGCAGUUUGCAAGAUCACCUGCCUACUGUUGCUGACACAAAGCUGCGUGCAGUCUCCAUGACCCAAGGUCAGAGGCAGCACUCACUGCAUGAGUCCGGGUGCCAGAGACUGAGAAGUCAUCAAGUCAGAUAUUUAACAGUGUGUGAAGCCACUUAAAGUUCUCAGCUUCAGUUUAAUAACCAUGUGACAUAAAGUCAGCAAAUGGAUUAAGUAACUCAAAUCCCUUCUAGCUUGAGCCACUAUGAUUAGAUCUUACCCUGAGUAAGAGAAACCUCUCUGGGCUGGGCUGGUCAAACUUCCAAGGCCUUCACCAAUUACAAGGUUAGUUCAUUUUCUCAGCAAAAUGACUGCAUAACUGGAGAUCUGGAUAAAAACAGAAGUACAGAUACUUAGUUGGAUUACUUUUCAAAUGUCAUUUCGUGAAUUUCUAUCCUUAGCAUUUUUCCUUCUUGAACUACUAAUCAAUUAUUGGACCAUGUAACACGAUCCAUUACAUUGCUACUGAACACCCUCGGUAAGGCCGCCAAGUUGAUCUUGACAUUGCCGCUUCUGGUCCCUCCAAACCAACCUUCUUCCACUCUGCCAUCCAACUUCAGGUUCAAACUGUGUGAAGUUUUGCCAAGCCAAGGCCGCCGGGAACUGAAUUCAUACUUUGCUCAUACUUCAUUCUCUUAGAAUGCCUUCCACCUCCUUGGUGGCAGUCCAUUCUCUUGCUAACUUAGAUCACCGCCUCAUUUAAGCGCUUCUACUUGUUUCAACAGUAGUGACCCAGUAGUUGGCACCUCCCACUGACCCUAACUGUCAGUUUUUCCAUCUCUACAUCUCCCAUCAAGUAUCUCAUAUGCAGCAGUCAACAUGUUGAUUUAGUAAAUGUUCACUGGUCCCCCUCAUCCCAAAACUUACAUUUUCCCAAGUUUAAGCUGAGUUACCUACCUUCCACACCCACUGGGAGCCUCCAGCUGCACUGCUUCCUUCCAUUAAAUCCGAAAUUUCAUACUAGGUGAUAGAGCAGUUGGUACCAGCUAAAUAGCUGAUUAAAAUAGAAUUGUCGUCAUUAGUAGGUUUAAAACUUUUUGUGGGCUUACCUAUCAUUACCUAAACUAUCUCCAAGUGCUUUUUUAUGCAACCCGCACCCCCCUCUUACCCCUCCCUCUUUGCUUUACCUCUGUAAAGGGACCUCAGGGAAUUUAACAUUAACUAGCUUUUCUCUGGACUUUUGAUUUUAUACUGACGGAGUCUGCCAACAAGAAAUUUUGACUAUGCCUAGCACCAUUAUUUGAUUUGCAAGCAUCUCUUCAGUCUACGUACCUCUACUCCAUCGCUGGUUCCCCUUUGCUUCGAUUAUAUAAUUCGAGGUCUAUAUAAUAAAUUCAGGAUUCCUGUUUAUGCACUUUUCAGCAAAGAGCUAGGGAUCAAAUAGGGUUUGAAUCCUCUAUUCCUAGGUAAAAAUCUGUGGUGGAGGGGGAUUAGGGCAUCCCCUUCAAAGUCAUGUUAAUAUACACUAUAUUUUGGGUAAGCAGAAUACCUUGAUGAGGAAAGUAGAAAAAAUAACAAUGAUUGCUGUGGUUUUUAAUGGCCCUCUAGAAUAACGUAUUUUUGGAAGCAUCUUAAAGUAUGGCCCAGGGGUCAUCAGAUCAGGUCAGUACAAUAUAUAACAAUAUCCUCUACCACCCAAAUAUUAGUAUCUUACAAACUAUUUUGUAUAUUAAGUUUCAUCUUUAAAUUUUCUCUUAAUAGGGAAGCUUUUAGGGACCAAAAACUAAAGUUUACAAUUCUCCAAAGCUUGUGAUGUGAGCACUACUCAGUUUGUUGCAAAUACUUGUCUUUACAGCCACUGCAUUCACCUUAACUCUUCAUUUUCUAGAGAACAAUUUUUCCAAGUAUAAUCUUGUAAGUACUAUUUAAAGGUUUCUAUUGUUCACAACAAUUUAACAGGUGCUAUCUGUCCCACCUUUUUUCUAGAAAGAACUCUCAUUAAAUUAUGAAAACACCCAUUAUAUGACCUACCCAAGGGUUCAAAUCUGCAUAUACUGGUUUCUCAAAGGGUUAAGUUUCAAUAAAAAUAAGACUAUGAG